ensembl:lncRNA
CUUCAGCCGCCCCAAAUCCCCGCAUCCCACGGCGAAGGGGACGGCCACGGGCUGCCGUCUGAGGGGACAGCUGGGCGAUUCCGAGCCGGUUGCCAACGGCGCGCACUGCCCCUCAGCCAAUUGGAGCCGGCGGCGCUUCUGCUCACCAAUCAGAGACAAGGGGAGGGCCGGAAAUGCCACUGACCAAUGAGAGGCCAGCAGGGGCGGGUCAGAGCUGCUGCUGACCAAUCAGAGCCAGCAGGGGCGGGAUGGAGCUGUCAAUCACCAAUGAGAGGCCACAGGGGGUGGGUCAGAGCUGCUGCUGACCAAUCAGAGGCUGGAUGGGUCAGAGCUGCUGCUGACCAAUGACAGGCUGGACGGGAGUGGGACGGAGCUGCUGUUGACCAAUGAGAAACAACGGGGGGAGGGAUGGAGCUGCAUCUGACCAAUGAGAGGCUAACGGGGGCGGUUCGGAGAUGCUGCUGACCAUGCAGAGUCCACCAGGAGCGGGACUGAGCUCUCGCUGACCAAUCAGAGGUCGGCACGGACCGGCGUUGAGCUGGGAGCAGAGCGGACC